UCUACAAUUGCUGGAUUGCAUGGUAAAUUCAUUUUUACUUUUAAAGGAAUUGCCAAACUAUUUUCCAGAGUGGCUGUACCAUUUUAUAUUCCCAUUAGCAAU
rnacentral:pre_miRNA from 2 species